CCUACGGUGCGCAGCAGUGAGGAAUAUUGGUCAAUGGGCGCGAGCCUGACCCAGCCAAGUAGCGUGAAGGAUGACUGCCCUACGGGUUGUAAACUUCUUUUAUAAAGGAAUAAAGUGAGGCACGUGUGCCUUUUUGUAUGUACUUUAUGAAUAAGGAUCGGCUAACUCCGUGCCAGCAGCCGCGGUAAUACGGAGGAUCCGAGCGUUAUACGGAUUUAUUGGGUGUAAAGGGCGCGUCGAUGGGUUGUUAAGUCAGUUGUGAAAGUUUGCGGCUCAACCGUAAAAUUGCAAUUGAUACUGGCAGUCUUGAGUACAGUUGAGGUAUGCGGAAUUCGUGGUGUAGCGGUGACAUGCUUAGAUAUCACGAAGAACUCCGAUUGCGAAGGCAGCUUACUAAACUGCCACUGACAUUGAUGCUCGAAAGUGUGGGUAUCAAACAGGAUUAGAUACCCGUGUAGUC
rnacentral:rRNA from 1 species